CCUCUCUGAACCUUCCUGGGGCAUUGUAGAGUUCUCAGAGAGCUCAGGGGCCCCCAGUCAAGAGACAGAAGCCCCACCGAUUACUUGAAGAGAGAAGAUUUAAUGUAGAGAACAGUUAGUAAGGUUCUCGGCUGUGGCUCUGCAACAAAAGACACAUAAAUAAGACACUGAAGCUGGAAAAGGCAGCGUUCGUGCCGUCUGUCACCACCAGAACCAACAAGGAGAGACAAGGGUCGAGUCUUUGUGGGUGCUUUAAUCAGGUGCCGGCAAUCUGAGAAUACGGCAGGUUAUGUACCCCCCAAAACCAUCUUAACAGUUCAUCGGAAGCUGCUGUUUUCAUAAGAAGAAGAACAGUGACUCAGAUGCCACCUCCUCCCCUGCAGAUGGCCCGGGGCACAAGGCGGGAUUGCUUGUGGACCUCCCGGAGUCACGUAGGUCGCGCAUUCCAGUUCCUGGAAAACGGCUUUCCACGGGCUUUAAUCACUUACGCCU